UUCUCACUUAAAAAAAAGUGUCGUUCUCAUAGCUUCUCUGUUUGCUUCUGUAAACUCUAGAUCAAUGGCGGCGCUGCUUGGCCACAUUUUGAAGAAUCAAAAGAACUCCUUUCUUCUUCGCAACAUAACCACAACAUUGGAUACUAUCUCCUCUUCUUCGUUGCACCAAACACCUUUCAUUGUCCAAACUUUAUCACAAGUGAGACUGGUUGGAAAUGUAGCAGAAAGUGUUUGUGGAUUUGAUGAGAUGGUAGAAGGGAAGGAUAGGAAGUACUACAUGCUCGGUGGGAAAGGUGGUGUUGGAAAAACAAGCUGUGCUGCCUCUCUUGCUGUCAAAUUUGCAAAUCAUGGACACCCUACUAUGGUUGUCUCAACUGACCCUGCUCAUUCCUUAAGUGACUCUUUUGCUCAGGAUUUGACAGGGGGAAAUCUUGUUCCGGUCGAAGGUGUUAAUUCUCCAUUAUAUGCUCUUGAGAUAAACCCUGAGAAAUCUAUGGAUGAAUUUCGUGCAGCUGGUCAAAAAUAUGGUGGUGGGGGUGUUAAGAGUUUAAUGGAAAGUAUGGGACUUGGAGCGGUUGCUAAUCAGUUAGGGGAUCUUAAGCUUGAAGAGCUCUUGAACACUCCUCCACCUGGGACAGAUGAAAUCAUUGCAAUUUCUAAGGUGAUGCAAUUUCUUGAGUCUCAAGAAUAUAGUAUGUUCAGCCGGAUAGUUUUUGAUACAGCACCAACGGGUCAUACACUUCGGUUACUGUCAUUACCAGACUUCUUGGACGGAUCUAUCGGCAAACUUAUUAAGAUGAAGAUGAAAUUAGGUUCAAUCUUCAAAUCCUUGUUGGGAAAAGAGCAACCACAAAAUGAUCCUUUAGACAAACUUGAAAAGCUUAAGGAGAGAGUGGCAAAAAUACAGGAUCUUUUCCAAAAUCCAGACACUACCGAAUUCAUAAUAGUAACGAUUCCCACGGUUAUGGCAAUUAGUGAAUCGUCAAGAUUACAUGCAUCGUUGAAGAAACAAAGUGUACCUGUUAAAAGACUAGUCAUUAAUCAGAUUUUACCUCCUACGUCAGACUGCAAGUUUUGUUCGAUGAAAAUAAAGGAUCAACAACGUGCAAUUGAAACUAUCCACAAUGAUUCAGAACUUGCUGGCUUGAGAUUAUGCAAGGCACCCUUGGUGGAUAUGGAAAUAAGGGGCGUUCCAGCUCUCAAAUUCAUGGGGGAGAUGCUUUGGAGAUAAAACAUACAUUGUAGAUAAUUCGCAAAUUUCAGGAACACGAUCACAUUAUGGAGACACUUAAACAUUUAUAGCAAGUUUAGCGAUUACUCUGGCACUCGUUCAAGCAGUGAAAUGGGGUGAUGCCGCGAGGGCAAAAGAACCCUUCACAACAAGGUUGGCAAUCAGCAGAUCUAACAGUUUAUGUUGGGCUUCAAGAAGUUUGCUUUGGUUCUUCCUGAGCCUGCAGACUUGUCCCCUGCAGCAAAACUUCUUGCAUAGGCUUCUAUUUCUCCUGCCGUGCACAUUCUCUGUGUAAUAUCUCCUGAAAAAAGAAAGUCACCAUAAACAAACACAUAGUAAAACAUUUAUAUGUAUUCUUCUUGUAUUUCUUAUUUGUGUGAUCAUUGUCAAUAUUGAUAUGUAUUCUUCCA